GUGCUUGCUUUGGCAUUACAUAUACUAAAAUUGGAACAAUGCAGAGAAAAUUAGCAUGGCCACUGCACAAGAAUGACACAGAAAUUCUUGAAGCAUUCCAUAUUUUU
ensembl:snRNA U6 U6 spliceosomal RNA